rnacentral:misc_RNA from 1 species
UCCGGUUUGACACCGGCAGUCCCGCUAGAGUGCGCCGCCCGAAGGCGACUGGCAACUAGAGGCAGGGGUUUCGCUCGUUAGAGGACUUAACCCGACACUUCACAGCACGAGCUGACGACAGCCAUGCAGCACCUGUGCACGUUCCACCCUUGCGGGUGUCACUCCGCUUUCACAGAGCUAAUCCGUGCAUGUCAAGCCUUGGAUAAGGUUCUUCGCGUUGCUUCGAAUUGAGCCACAUGCUCCACCGCUUGUGCGGGCCCCCGUCAAUUCCUUUGAGUUUUAAUCUUGCGACCGUACUCCCCAGGCGGAAUGCUUAAAGCGUUAGCUGCGCCACUGAGCAGCAAGCUGCCCAACGGCUGGCAUUCAUCGUUUACGGCGUGGACUAC